rnacentral:rRNA from 1 species
UACGAAGGUCCCGAGCGUUGUUCGGAAUCACUGGGCGUAAAGGGAGCGUAGGCGGCGUGGUUAGUCAGAUGUGAAAUCCCGGGGCUCAACCCCGGAACUGCAUCCGAUACUGCCAUGCUAGAGUGAUGGAGAGGUAGCUGGAAUUCUUGGUGUAGCAGUGAAAUGCGUGGAGAUCAAGAGGAACACUCGUGGCGAAAGCGAGCUACUGGACAUUUACUGACGCUGAUGGACGAAAGCUAGGGGAGCGAAAGGG